GGCUCGCGCUGUGUUUGGUUAAGCGCAGUGAUCCAAACAGGGUAGUUUCCCCUCCACCGUUCAGACGUCGCCGUCUACAAGAUACGGUUAACCGCAAGGUUACGAACACGAAGUAAAACUGACUGGGCCUAUCUGGACCGGCUGUGAGUAGGGUCACAAAGAACAAACUGCUAUUCUGUGAGUAUCACAAUUGAGCCAUGAAGAAGAAACUGCGAACUGUAAGUCUUUUUUAUUUUUCCCUUUUGUACUGGGCCAUCAUUUUGGCCUAAUGGUUGGUUGAGGUGGAUAGGUCUCCCUAUCAGGUCACCUAUCCACCUCAACAAAACAAAAAUCCUUACUAAUUAAGUCAACAUACACCUAUCGGGUGUAUGUUGAUUUAAUUUGUAAGGAUUCUUGUUGGUACAUGGGCUAAUUCAGUGUUUAGUUUGAACAAGUAAUGAAUGCUUUGUCGUUAGAAGUAUAGGUUCAUGUACAUAUUAAAGACAUACUCCAGGGUUGUGUUCCGAUCUCUUUUCUUCCCACUUUUCUACUACUUUCCUGUACAAUGCAUCUACAUCACAUGUGUGUUGUCUUACUGAUAGGGGGUUGGUCUGAGUGACCAGAGAAGCAUGCUAGGGUGCUGUGCAGUCUGAAGUCUACAGUUCUGUAGACGUGCCCCCCUCAGAAGGGACCAAGUGUUUAAGAGGCUGUCACAAUGACAGUUACAUGAAUUGGAAUGUCCUUCAAGAUGGUGUCGGGGUUUCCCCUGAGGUGAAAUGCCAGGGGCAAGGUGUGCGGGCUCUCCCCCCGGGGAACUGGAACACAACCUUGGCCUUGCGUCAGAGAACCAUGGAGCACAGUUCAACAUUCCUCUCCGUACUUCUGGAAGCCCUACGGUGUCUCAACCUCCCCAGUGGAAGUUGUGCACAAUUGCAGUUCAGAAAGGGCACUUGAUGGGAUCUUACCAGGAUGGGUUCUGAUUGGAGGGGACCCAACUGCCAUUGCCACAAAUGACUUUGCAGUUAUGCCUGAGAAAGGUUUGCUGCAUCUGAGCCAGCAAAGAGCUCAUUGGCCUGCGUCACAAAGGUGCGGUAAAGCGAACGCAAAACCACCCCACUGCUCAGAUUUUACAGCCAAUUCCGCGCUCGAUCGUACCCUCACUCGCAAACAAGACCCCAAGGUACUUGAACACCUAAACUUGGGCUGUAGAUUCAUUUCCUACACGGAGUAGGCAAUCAACUGAUUUCCUGCUGCGGGUCAUGGCCUCAUGUAUAUCACAAAAAGGAUUGGUGACCAAGCGCAGCCCCGACUGAGGCCGACGGGAACGAAGCAGACUUGUUGCCGACACGGCAGGCACAGCUCUCGCUUUAGGAGAACAUGGGUCCGGUCUGUCGAGACCCCUGACCUGUCGAGACCCCUGACCUUUACUGCCAGUGCCCCGACCCCAGCGGGUCAUGUCCUGCAGGUGGUGGGCCAACAGGACGCAGAGGGGGGGUGCCACGUUGCUUUUUCAGGUCGGGCUCUGUAUCAAACCCGGGCUCUCGCCACCGAGCCCUCCGUCUGGGCCUGGCUCCAGACGGGGGGGCCCCGGGCUUCCUCCGGGCAGGACCUCUCCUCCCCUCACCUGGUUAUAUUAACGGGGUCUUUGUGAACCAUUCUCAGUCUGGCCCCUCACCUGGGGCCACUCUGCCAUGGGAGGACCUACCAGGGGCACCCUGCUCCAGACCGCACGGCCCCCAGGGACACGCUAACCCCUCCACCACCUCUUAAUUUUCAGAUACAGACCAGCGGUACUGCAUUGAAAACGUCCGAAUCUUUUUAUUCUGACGUUUCUUGAUGACUUGAGUGUAUGGCCGCAAUCAACCAUGGUAACGAAGCGGGUUGUUCAGGCACACUUUCUGGCUUUUAAUUCCAUCUCCCACCCACUGGGUGGGAUUGCUCGAGUGUCAAGCAGAUUGGAUAUCAGCGCGACUGAAUUAUGCGAACAAUGGAUUCUUGGUACAAUGGAUGAUGGACUAAUGGCAUAACGACUGGACAGAAUCUGACAAGUUGGAAAAGGAACCAGGAAAUGUAAACUAUUCAAGUUUGACAGUGCUGCGUGGCUGGGCUUCUUAACCCCAACUUGAUGGAUGGCUGGCAAGCCCUGUGGAGUACAUCUUCUGUCCUCCCGUGCAGAAAUGAGUCUUUCUAAUUUAUUGGACCCGGAGCCAUGUCCCUUGAAUUAGAAACCGUCUUGGAAACAUCGCAACUAUGGUCUUCUUCAAGCAGCAGUAUAUGCUCGUCAAAUGAGGUGGUAAAGAAUCCCUCGCUGUGGCUUCAAGAGUUAUGAAGAGAAACUUUGAGGUGUGUUCAAUGUUCUCUCCUGUAAGAGCGAGGUUGUAUUAUAGUGGCUGAGGAAGAAGAGCCCUCAGAUCCUAUUCUUGGUACUUCUCCUUGGGGAGUCCCUGUCACGGUCUGGACGGAUCUUCCAGUUUGUGUAGCUCCUGUUAUGACAGUCUCCUGAACACUUUGUUUCAUCUGAGGGGGCACCUCUAUAAAACUGUAGACUUCAGACGGCACCGUAUACUAGCAUGCAUCUGGUCACUCAGACUACACCUAGAUCAAUAAGACAUCCUUCAUGCAAUGUGGAUGCAAUAUUUUGGUAAUGGCAAGAAAGUGGCGAUAAGGCAUCGAACAAAACGGAGCAUGUAAAUUCUGUAGCGCUGUAAAUCAGGUAGAUCAGUUUUAGAAUUAUGGGUUUGGCAGUUUUUGAAUCUCUAAUGCUGCAGUACCGUCUGUUAAGCAAGAGUUUUAGCGCAGAACAUAAACGAGGCAAAUAUGGGCCCUUGAAUUAGUGUCAUUAUGGUUUGUAUUGAUUUGAUAAAGCAUUCCAGCUCCCAAACUUCAUCGUUGGGUGGAUGAUUUGUCAGCUGAGGGGGGGGGGGGCCUCUGGCAGCACGUCGCAAGAUCGGCAUUUGCGUAACCUCGUCACCAAAUAGCGAUUAAAAUCAGUAACAUCCACAGUAUUAGAAUUUCUUGUGCUUUAGACAUCAUGUAAUAUUGAAAUGUAAGAUUGCCAAUUUUCCUUGAAGUAAUCACGCCAAAAAAACGCGUCGAUAAUCGCACUCUACAACUGCGUUCUUGCGUGCACAUUUUAUCGUUGCGUAUAAGAGGAUAAAGUUGAAGGCUGCGACAUUUACAUUUGAGGCCAUUUGGUGUUUCGGCACCAUGGCUCCUUGGAUCUACAGCAACCCAGCAGCUCAAUAUGGCCAAGUACCAUUUUGCUAUCAUAUUUCCAUUGAUGCUGCUAGUGUUCUAAAUUCCUGUGCUGUGAUUGUGCUGUAAACAAAAUCAAUUAGUGAGGAAUUACUUUACACUAUACUUAUGGCGGCUAGUAGUAGUACUUAUCUGAAAGUUCAACAGCUAAAAUAAUGGAUCCAUGUGCCACAUGUUAAAGUAAUAUCAACCAUAGAACGGUACAGAGCUGAGCUUGUAACUGUAGUUUGUUCUGCCUCCACAUCCAGGUCCAUCACCCCCCCCCCGUAUCACCACUGGCCGAAGGACUCCAUAGCAGUGAGGAUCCCCUGGAUGAAGCAUGAGGCAGCAGGGUGGACCAGAGGCCGGGAACCAGCAGGUUACUCACAGGUAUCAUCACCGAGCUGUUCUGAGUCGCCCAGAGACCGGGGAGCUGAUGGAGCUGAUGGUGCAGGGGAGCUGAUGGAGCUGAUGGUGCAGGGGAGCUGAUGGAGCUGAUGGAGCUGAUGGAGCUGAUGGAGGAGGGGAGCUGAUGGAGCUGAAGGAGCUGAUGGCGCCGGGCUGGGGGUCCGGCCUGACGAAGGAUGUUCCUGUUGGGGUGAGGGAAGCCCAACUUUAAGGUGAAGCUGAUGACUCACCUGGAACGAUGCAUGGACCACGAUGGGACUAAUUUAGCCUUUGGAAGAGCAGGAGUCCAUGGCUGAGGAAGGAGUCGUCAGGAGGAAGACCAUGAGUCGGCCUGCCAACAAGCGUCACUGGGGAGUUUGCAUAAACUGUUUUGUUUACUAUCAGACAUGACCGCAAACUACCAAUAUUACCAAACCAGACAGACUGCUUCUGUGUGUUACCAGACCACAAAAACUAGUGUGAUGUUUGUUACCAGACUAAGUAAUUCUGUUGCAAGACAAACUACCACUGUUUGAUACAAGACUAAAUAAUGCUGUUACCAGACAAACUACCACUGUUUGAUGCAAGACUAAAUAAUGCUGUUACCAGACAAACUACCACUGACGGAUACCAGACUAAGUAAUGCUGUUACCAGACAAACUACCCCUGCUGGUUACCAGAUGUUGAGGCGUAACCAAUGCUGUUUGUUUUCCAGAGCCGUGGCGGAGCUAUGUUGGAGGACUGGGCUGGUGAACGCUGUCCCUAGUGCGGCCUGAUUGUGAUCCGAGGACGCAGACGGCUCUCCAGGGGUCACUUGGAGGACAACCAUGUGACGGUCUUUGGAAGGCAGUGCUACUACGUUUACCAGACCAGGAGUCCUGGGCUGAGCAGCUGAUGGGGGGGGGGGGGGGGGGGACAUUGCACCUGGAGGAAGACCAUGGUUCUACCUGCCAACGAGCAUUACUGCUGCUGAAAUGCUGUGGCAGACACACCUGAGCUGUAACCUUAGACGGCAAAGUCCUUCAGAGUGACAAAUAAACAGCGCCUCAUCACAGCUGAAGUCAUCGCUUGACUGGGGAUUCAUCGCUGGACUGUGGAUCAUCUCCUACAUCCACAGAACUUUACUUUGCCAUCAUCUGUCACAUAAGGACUCCUCCUAAUGUGUUCCAUUAAGGUUCUUUUUCCUCCCCACUGCCAAAGGUUUUCCUUCAAGGUGUUUGGGUUCAGUGUUAGGGACAGAGUUAGGGCGAGUUGGUUGAGGAAUGGGCUGGUUUCACGAUGCAAUGCUGUGCUUUUGUAUUGGGUUGGACAUUGGACUAAAAAACCCAAGAUGUUGUGCAAACGCUUUUUACAAUUUGUACUAAUGGUGUUUCUAUAAUAAAAACCCUAUAAAAAAAAUCAUGUUUAAUGCAGUUU